rnacentral:rRNA from 1 species
GGCGGGCCUAACACAUGCAAGUCGCACGAGAAAGCGGUUUCGGCCGUGAGUAAAGUGGCGGACGGGUGAGUAACACGUGGGUAAUCUGCCUUUCAGUGGGGGAUAACAGUCCGAAAGGAUUGCUAAUACCGCAUACGUCGGCGAGGGCUUUGGCCUUUGUCGGGAAAGCCGGCCACUUCAUGAAAGCUGGCGCUGGAAGAGGAGCCCGCGGCCCAUCAGCUAGUUGGCGAGGUAAAAGCUCACCAAGGCAAAGACGGGUAGCUGGUCUGAGAGGAUGAUCAGCCACACUGGGACUGAGACACGGCCCAGACUCCUACGGGAGGCAGCAGUGGGGAAUAUUGGGCAAUGGGCGCAAGCCUGACCCAGCCACGCCGCGUGAGUGAUGAAGGCCUUCGGGUCGUAAAGCUCUGUGGGGAGGGACGAAAAAACGGUGGCUAAUAUCCACUGGACUGACGGUACCUCCUUAGCAAGCACCGGCUAACUCCGUGCCAGCAGCCGCGGUAAUACGGANGGUGCAAACGUUGCUCGGAAUCAUUGGGCGUAAAGCGUACGU